GCCUCGUUGGCGUAGUGGUAGCGCGUUCCACUUGUAUGGAUAUGAAGCGAGUUACAAUGGAAAGGUCACUCGUUCAAUCCGGGUACGAGGCA